CAAGACCGGUGCCAGCCGCCGCGGUAAUACCGGCAGCCCAAGUGAUGGCCGCUGUUAUUGGGCCUAAAGCGUCCGUAGCUGGCCGCACAAGUCCGUCGGGAAAUCCGCCCGCUCAACGGGCGGCCGUCCGGCGGAACCUGUGUGGCUUGGGACCGGGAGGCCUGAGGGGUACGAUCGGGGUAGGAGUGAAAUCCUGUAAUCCCGCUCGGACCGCCGAUGGGGAAACCACUUCAGGAGAACGGAUCCGACAGUGAGGGACGAAAGCCAGGGUCUCGAACCGGAUUAGAUACCCGGGUAGUCCUGGCCGUAAACGAUGCUUGUUAGGUGUGACUCCCACUACGAGUGGGUGUUGUGCCGUAGGGAAGCCGC
rnacentral:rRNA from 1 species